UGGGGAAUAUUGGACAAUGGGCGCAAGCCUGAUCCAGCCAUGCCGCGUGAGUGAUGAAGGCCUUAGGGUUGUAAAGCUCUUUUGGCGGGGACGAUAAUGACGGUACCCGCAGAAUAAGCCCCGGCUAACUUCGUGCCAGCAGCCGCGGUAAUACGAAGGGGGCUAGCGUUGUUCGGAUUUACUGGGCGUAAAGGGCGCGUAGGCGGCAUGACAAGUCACUUGUGAAAUCUCUGGGCUUAACCCAGAACGGCCAAGUGAUACUGUCGCGCUAGAGUGCAGAAGGGGCAAUCGGAAUUCUUGGUGUAGCGGUGAAAUGCGUAGAUAUCAAGAGGAACACCUGAGGUGAAGACGGGUUGCUGGGCUGACACUGACGCUGAGGCGCGAAAGCCAGGGGAGCAAACGGGAUUAGAUACCCCAGUAGUCCCUGAGCGGGCUGGCAAGGCGCAU
rnacentral:rRNA from 1 species